rnacentral:lncRNA from 1 species
CCCUGACUCCCUGCGGGGCCGGAGCCCCAGCGGCACCUCUGCCCGGAAUGGGGCUAAGGCUGGCCGGCGAUGGACGUCUCUUUUCUUUUGGUUUUUGAGUUUUGGGUUCCCUUUGUGAUUUGGCUGUGAUUGUUCAGGCGGCUGAGAGCUGAGCCGCAGCGGGUCUGGCUCCAUGUCCAGGGCCGGAGGGCUCGUGCACGCGCCCAGCUCGGAGGGCAGGAUGAGGCGCUGUGCCCAUGGCCGAGACCCUGCGGAGCCCGUGAUCUCAGUGGAGAAGCUUUCUUAAGCCGCGAGGGAUUUGCUUUUCUGCCUUCGUUGAUUUUCCUUUGGAAACAACUGGUGCUAGUCCCACCCUUUUCCCCUCGCACCCCCGCCCCUCCCCUCGUACUCAGAAGGAACCGCCACAUAUCCUGUCUUUUUCAGCCCCGGGGACGGGGACGGGGACGCAAUGGCUCUCUCCUUCUUGCACUUUGGAAGGCGACGUCCCAGAGUUGGGCUCUUUCCAGAAUAGGUCAUUUCGCUGGCAGCAGAACAUGGGUGAAGGUUGAGAGAGGAGCAGAUCCUGGGAAGGAGCGAAGUUUGCCUGGAUGGGCCUUGUGCGGCUCUGGGGAAGAGAGGAUGUCACUCAAAGUUCCCGAGGCUGCGGGGGAGUCCUGAUGUCUAAGCUUCCUCGGAUGAGGAGGGUAUUUCAAUUCCCGUCCAGAGGUUCCUCAGAACAGAGCCUCCAUGCAAGCCUGUGCUGUGGCAAGCGUCCAGCCGCAGCCCGUGGAGUCCGCAUUCUUUCCACUAGAGGGCGGUCAGCUGUGAAAGCACCUGGGAUCCCGAGAGGGGGCCUGAGAGGCAGGGGUGGAGAUGUGGCCCGAGGGACGGAGAGUCUCCUGGCCUCCGGGAGCCUUGAGCAUACUGCUCUUCCAGCUGCCUGAGCAGCUUCCUCACGACUACCGGCCCCCACCUCCCCCAAAGUGGGUUUCUCCGGAGGGAUUCUCUGAAGCCGAUUUCUGCUCGCCCCUCCUCUGUCCCACCAUUGAGGCUGCUGACUCGGGCCUGGUCCUGUUUUGGAUGGCUCCCCUGCAAGCGGGAAAUGCGGCUACCCACCCUCUGCCCCGUCGUGGGCCCAGCAGCCACCGACCGAGCCUUUGCCCUGUGCAGACGGGAGGUUCUCACGGUCCUCUUGGGACCCUUCGCGUCAGCAUUUCAGCCUUGGGAGCGCCCCACCCCCAUCUGAGGGAACCCGGUCCAGGCUGCCGACCCUCGGCACCUCUGUCCCCGUUGCAGAUCUCUCGCCCCAUCAGCAGGGUGUUGUGCACCUUGAGAAGCCCCCCCAGUGCUUAUGGUGCCGGCCACCGGGCUUGAGCUCUGCUCUGAGGGCCACCAACCCAGAACCUCGCAGGAAGGUCUCCACUCCUUUGGAAAAGACUGUGUUUAUUUUCACAGUCGACCCAAGGCCGACGACGUGAUGGGGCCGGCGGGCCGGCCGGCCGGCGGGCAGGCGGGCUCAUGUUCAGCACCCCUCCCCUCAGCUGCAACGUCAACAGAAACUGUCAGGCUCCUGGCCUAUGGGCUCUGGCCGGCAUGCUCCGCCCCAUCCCCAGGCCCCUCCCCGCUCGGUUUCGGGCUGACUCACACAGCACAGCGACUUGGGGGCAAGGCCCAGCAGGAAAUUUAAAUCGUUCCUGUGUACGAUUUACUGCUAGGAGUACGACUUCUGCAGAUUUGAGGGAGCAGACUUCCUUCAGUCCCACGUGAUCACAUCUUGCUUGAGCUUGAGCUUCUUUUGCACUUUCCUGAAGUCCUCAGUCUCUGCAUUAGAGUUCUGCACUUUCUCAACCAGUUCAACUUUCUCAUCUGAAAGUUGGUCAGGAGCCUGUCUGCUAGAGUCAGUUUCAAAGUCCUUUCCGUGACCCUCUAUGAAGAUGAAAGAGACUUGCAGAAACAGAGUCAAACCAAACUGUCUGUAAAUGACAAGGAUUUCAAAAUGGCAAUGGACAAAGAAAUUUGGUUAUUUUUAUGACCUAGAACACAUCCAGAUAACAAUUAGAGUGAUGAGUGCUAACCAGGAUAAAUCAGCAUUUUAGGAAUGCUAUCUGAUUUUUAAAACCCUUAUAGAAACAUUUACCCACAGCAUAGCCUAGAUCCCUAGGAAACCAUGCUUAGCUAUGCAUGGAAACAUGGUGACCAUGAAAGUUUUUCAGGCAAGUGUAGAAAAUCAAACGGGUGUAUGAAACAUCUUAGCCACUUGGUGUGAUUCAAUUCGUGAUCAAAACAAUACUGGAAAUUUAUUUUGAUAAGGCAUCAAAAUCUUUCCUAAUCUCUUUCCCCAGAAAAGAAGAAAAGUUUAAGCAAAUGAUCCUUUUAAGAGAGGGCAAAAACCAAAAUCUAAUUUGGCAACAGCUUCCCUUCGAUAUGAAAGUUCAUUGACUUCGUUCAGUUCGUUUCCAUAGUAGCCAAUUUGAUCAUGCACAAAACUCUUUUCUUUGAGUUUUUUUCCCUCAUACAUUCUAGAACCUUCUUUUUACAUUAAGAAUUUGUCCUAGGGCUGCUUUCCUUUUUUAGGACCCAUUUAUCUUUCUUAACAAAACCAACAAAGACAUUUCCAUUCUUUAAAUUUUCUUGCCUGAAAACAUUCAUCCUGCUUUCCUUAGCGCACAAAGAUGUCUUCCUUCUCAAUUUUGAGUAGCUUUAAUCACAUCUCUUCCUUAGAAGUCUCAGCCUUUACAGACCUUGUUUUCAGUAGAAUCUAAGAAGGAAGCAAUUAUAAACUGUCCUUUCCAUUAGCAUUCUGUGGCUUUACAAAUUUAUAAAUAUAUUUAUAAUUUCCAGAAUCAUACUACUUCCUAGUACACUCUUAUGAUAAAAAUGUAAGACAUCUUUACUAAUAGACCCAAAGAUCUUUUGGUUUCUCUGUCAAAAUAAGCCUGAAGUAGAUAAACCUCUGUCUAAUAACUACUGUCUAAUAUUUUAUCUUAUUUGGAAAUGAUCUAGAGACUCAAUAAAUUUCUAUCAUUCAACUGAAUUUAAUAAAAC